GAUGAACGCUGGCGGCGUGCCUAAUACAUGCAAGUCGAGCGAACAGACGAGGAGCUUGCUCCUCUGACGUUAGCGGCGGACGGGUGAGUAACACGUGGAUAACCUACCUAUAAGACUGGGAUAACUUCGGGCAACCGGAGCUAAUACCGGAUAAUAUAUUGAACCGCAUGGUUCAAUAGUGAAAGACGGUUUUGCUGUCACUUAUAGAUGGAUCCGCGCCGCAUUAGCUAGUUGGUAAGGUAACGGCUUACCAAGGCAACGAUGCGUAGCCGACCUGAUAGGGUGAUCGGCCACACUGGAACUGAGACACGGUCCAGACUCCUACGGGAGGCAGCAGUAGGGAAUCUUCCGCAAUGGGCGAAAGCCUGACGGAGCAACGCCGCGUGAGUGAUGAAGGUCUUCGGAUCGUAAAACUCUGUUAUUAGGGAAGAACAAAUGUGUAAGUAACUAUGCACGUCUUGACGGUACCUAAUCAGAAAGCCACGGCUAACUACGUG
rnacentral:rRNA from 1 species